rnacentral:lncRNA from 1 species
AGAAUAUGAAAAAAUAAAAAAAAGAACAUUAUUUAAAAUAUUAUUAACUGUUUUUAUUAAAACGUUAUUUGAAUCUUUUUUACAACCGUUAUUACCAUAUUAUAUUUUAAAUUACUAUGAUAUAAAAGUAAAAGAACUGGGAAUAUUACUGAGUAUACAUUCAUUAUCUCAGUGUGCUAUGUGUUUGAUAACAGGUUUUUUUUCUUCUGUAAAUAAAAAACACUUAAUGAUAUUUUUAAUCAUAUUUAAUUUAUUUGGCUUAUAUCUAUUCUAUUUAGAAAAACAAACUUUUUUUAUAUUAGCUAUUAAUCGCCUCAUAUGUGGGAGUAGUUCAAUUUUUAUAGUAGUAGUUAAUGCAGUAAUUAAUGAUUUAGUAGAGAGUGACAAAGUAUGUACUUAUUAUACAUAUAUAAACAUAUUUAACGCUUUUGGUAUGAUAUUAGGCCCAUUAUUAUCUUCUAUAUUCUUAACUGUAUUCGACUUCAAUAUCAUAUUACAUUUUAAUACGAUAGGACUUGUAGUUUCACUUUUUAUUGUUUUUACCAUUUCAAGCGAUUUACUAACUAACAAUCAUGAUGAAAUACAAAGUAACAUUCAAAACGACCAACAAAUGGAUAUAAAUGAAAAAAAUAUAUUUGGAAAUAUAAAAAAACGUUUUACUAGUAGAGAAAAAAAAUUGGACAACAUUAAUCCUAAACAUCGUAUGUCUCACUUUAUAAAAAAAAAUAUUCCAUUAUAUAAAUCUAAGCAAGAUAAUAAAAUAAAAUACGAUACAAAUGAAAAUAAUAGCAAUAUUAAUUAUUAUUAUAAAGAAGUGAAUGUUAAUAAUGAUCCUAUUGAUGACCUUUCUAACAUAUCAAAUCAAAUAUCAUUAAAAAAUAAACAAAAAGAAUAUUUUCGAUUUUCAAAUAUCAUAAUUUAUUUAAAAGAAAAAACACAACAAUUAAGUAAUGCCAUAUUUACUUAUAAAUACAAAUGUUUAUUUGCAAUUUGUUUAUUCAGAUUUGCCUCAGCAUUUUCUUCCAACUUAAUGAGUAACAUUUUUUUUGUUUUCUAUAACGACAACGUUAUUUCUGGUAAGGCACAUUAUAUAUGC